rnacentral:rRNA from 1 species
GUGGGGAAUAUUGCACAAUGGGCGCAAGCCUGAUGCAGCCAUGCCGCGUGUGUGAAGAAGGCCUUCGGGUUGUAAAGCACUUUCAGCGAGGAGGAAGGUGGUGAGCUUAAUACGUUCAUCAAUUGACGUUACUCGCAGAAGAAGCACCGGCUAACUCCGUGCCAGCAGCCGCGGUAAUACGGAGGGUGCAAGCGUUAAUCGGAAUUACUGGGCGUAAAGCGCACGCAGGCGGUUUGUUAAGUCAGAUGUGAAAUCCCCGGGCUCAACCUGGGAACUGCAUUUGAAACUGGCAAGCUAGAGUCUCGUAGAGGGGGGUAGAAUUCCAGGUGUAGCGGUGAAAUGCGUAGAGAUCUGGAGGAAUACCGGUGGCGAAGGCGGCCCCCUGGACGAAGACUGACGCUCAGGUGCGAAAGCGUGGGGAGCAAACAGGAUUAGAAACCCUAGUAGUCC